rnacentral:rRNA from 1 species
UACGUAGGGUGCGAGCGUUAAUCGGAAUUACUGGGCGUAAAGGGUGCGCAGGCGGAUAAUUAAGUUAGUAGUGAAAAUCCCGGGCUUAACCUGGGGAUUGCUAUUAAGACUGGUUAACUAGAGUUUAUCAGAGGGGGGUAGAAUUCCAAGUGUAGCAGUGAAAUGCGUAGAGAUUUGGAGGAACACCGAUGGCGAAGGCAGCCCCCUGGGAAGAAACUGACGCUCAUGCACGAAAGCGUGGGUAGCAAACAGG